CACCCUCAAAGACGGUACUGGGCUCCAUUUACAAACAGACUGAAGCGGAAAGGUAUGAUG
rnacentral:sRNA from 22 species